rnacentral:lncRNA from 1 species
AUGCCUGUGUCCAGAGGCUGCGCAGCCCCCGCAGCCCCACAGCCCCACUGCUGCCUCCAAGCCUGCGGGGCUGUGCUGGGUGUGGGGCUGCACUCACACGAGGCCAAGUCCCCAUCCCACCAGGGAGGCAAGAGUCCUGUGGGACCAGGCUCUGGGGGCUGCGCCAACCUCACUGCACUUGUGCAGGGCUGUGGCUGUGCCAAGGUGCUCGAGGUCACGUUGCAGAUGCCCAUGAGCCUCCUGUGGGGACUUCACCAAGCCCCUGAUCCACAUGACUAUCGGCCACAGAGAUCCCAGGUGUGGAGCUCAUUCUCUCACACGUGCAAUGGCAGCAAUGCCAGAGGGGCUGGGGUGGCAAAAUCCUCAGGGGAAACUGGCCAUGAUGGGAUGAGGAGAGUGUCUCUUCUUAGGCAGGGCUGGGCACUCAGCCACCAGCGGGGGUCCAUGCUGGUGCAGAGGUGCUGCAGGGUAGUAUGGAGGCUGCACACCCAUCAGUGGGGAGCAAAAUCCCAACACAAGCCCUUUCCCACCCCUGUCCCGUGUCUUGUGCAAUGCCAUGGCAGCAGUGCACCCCAGUCCUCAAUUUGCCCUGCACCCUGCCCAGGCCGGCCCCUGCCUCCUGACUACCCUGGGGCCAGUGGCAGCUGCCAUGAGCUGCAGGUCAGCUGGGAGCCUGAGGACAGGGCACCAGUCAUGGGGAGUGGGGGUCCUUGCCUUGCCCCUGUGGCUGCACAGGGAUUGGCACUGCUGGCUCGGGAAAGGCAAAUGCAGCUGCAGCCACAGUCUAAGGGCAGAUGGUGGUGCCUGUGUGUGACCCCUCUGGCCCCCAGCACUGGGACUACCAGCAGUGGUGUUGCAUGUAGCCAACCCAGUGCUGUCUCCUUGUUCCUGCUCUCCUGGCACAAGGUCUCUUCUUCACAGCUGUGGCUCCAAGUGGAGUCGUACUGGGUGUUUGCAGCCUGGCUCCACGAAGGUCAGCAGCCACAGGACCGUGACGCAGGAACAUACCCCGUUGUCCAACACCAGUGUGGGGCAAAAGUCCCCUGA